rnacentral:rRNA from 1 species
UGGCACCUCGAUGUCGGCUCGUCGCAUCCUGGGGCUGAAGCAGGUCCCAAGGGUUGGGCUGUUCGCCCAUUAAAGCGGCACGCGAGCUGGGUUCAGACCGUCGUGAGACAGGUCGGUCUCUAUCCGUCGUGGGCGUCCGGAGAUUUGAGGGGGGCUCUCUCUAGUACGAGAGGAUCGAGAGGGACAGACCUCUGGUGUGCCAGUUGUCCCGCCAAGGGCAUCGCUGGGUAGCUAAGUCUGGUUCGGAUAAGCGCUGAAAGCAUCUAAGUGCGAAGCCGGCCCCAAGAUGAUAUCUCCCAUCCUUCCCUUCGGGGAAGGGGUAAGACCGCAAGUAGACUACUUGUUUGAUAGGCGGUACGUGUAAGGACAGUAAUGUCUUUAGCUUAACCGUACUAAUGGUCGAGGGCUUGACCUG